rnacentral:sRNA from 1 species
GCUGGGCACAGUUGUGCAUGCCUGUAAUCCCAGCAGCUUGGGAGGCUGAGGCAGGAGGAUUGCAAGUUCAAAGCCAGCCUCAGCAACUUAGUGAGGCCCUAAGUAACUCAGCAAGACCCUGCCUCAA